rfam:Brassica napus, WGS project CCCW01000000 data, contig: 44162
CGACCCCAGGUCAGGCGGGAUCACCCGCUGAGUUUAAGCAUAUCAAUAAGCGGAGGAAAAGAAACUAACAAGGAUUCCCUUAGUAACGGCGAGCGAACCGGGAAGAGCCCAGCUUGAAAAUCGGACGUCUUCGGCGUUCGAAUUGUAGUCUGGAGAAGCGUCCUCAGCGACGGACCGGGCCCAAGUUCCCUGGAAAGAGGCGCCAGAGAGGGUGAGAGCCCCGUCGUGCCCGGACCCUGUCGCACCACGAGGCGCUGUCUACGAGUCGUGUUGUUUGGGAAUGCAGCCCCAAUCGGGAGGUAAAUUCCGUCCAAGGCUAAAUAUGGGCGAGAGACCGAUAGCGAACAAGUACCGCGAGGUAAAGAUGAAAAGGACUUUGAAAAGAGAGUCAAAGAGUGCUUGAAAUUGUCGGGAGGGAAGUGGAUGGGGGCCGGCGAUGCGUCCUGGUCAGAUGCGGAACGGAGCAAUCCGGUCCGCCGAUCGAUUCAGGGCGUGGACCGACACGGAUUAGGGUGGUGACCUAAACCCAGGCUUUUGUUACGCCCGUGGAGACGUUGCUGCCUUAAUCGUGGUCUGCAGCACGCGCCUCACGGCGUGCCUCGGCAUCUGCGUGCUCAAGGCGUCGGCCUGUGGGCUCCCCAUUCGACCCGUCUUGAAACACGGACCAAGGAGUCUGACAUGUGUGCGAGUCAACGGGUGAGUAAAUCCGUAAGGCGCAAGGAAGCUGAUUGGCUGGAUCCCUCACGGGUGCACAACCGACCGACCUUGAUCUUCUGAGAAGGGUUCGAGUGUGAGCAUGCCUGUCGGGACCCGAAAGAUGGUGAACUAUGCCUAAGCGGGGCGAAGCCAGAGGAAACACUGGUGGAGGCCCGCAGGGAUACUGACGUGCAAAACGUUCGUCUGACUUGGGUAUAGGGGCGAAAGACUAAUCGAACCAUCUAGUAGCUGGUUCCCUCCGAAGUUUCCCUCAGGAUAGCUGGAGCUCGGAAACGAGUUCUAUCGGGUAAAGCCAAUGAUUAGAGGCAUCGGGGACGCAAUGACCUCGACCUAUUCUCAAACUUUAAAUAGGUAGGAUGGGGUGGCUGCUUUGUUGAGCCAUCCCACGGAAUCGAGAGCUCCAAGUGGGCCAUUUUUGGUAAGCAGAACUUGUCACGCCCCAAUCCUGAAUAGGAUUGUUGGGACGGCCAUGGUUCGAGGAAACGUACAAGCCAGUCUUAAGACAUCAAGGCAAGCGUUCCAUGGUCGAGAAAGAAGGUUAAGGAUAUAAGGAAACUUAGACUUAACCUUAUACAAGCUAAGAGACAGCUAGGACGAGUAAGACGGUAGCUAGGACGAAGUGGACGAGUAGCUCGGCCAGCUCAAGGAAGCUAGGUUCAGUCCACUCCAGCUCAGUCCCUACUAAGUCAGCUCCACUAGCUGGACUACUAGCUCACUCAGCUGAGGCAGCUGAGAGUCAGCUCAUCUCAGCUAGACGGACUGUCCGGGCUUUAGGCCGAUUGUCCGGGUCUGGGUCAGUGGCGGGCUGUGAGGUCCGGCCAUGAGGCCAUGGGCUGUUGGGUCCUUGGGCAAGGCCGUGGGC